AUGAUUAUUGUUUUCCUCUGGAUGCUUUUGUAAAUAUAUUUCAUCUUCAGAUAAAUUUAUGGAAAAGACCCUUCUACUCACAUGCAAAUCGUAUCCAUCAGGAUCAGACAACUAGAUGAAACCAACAAUAACCACAUGAAUGAUGAAGAUGGUGACUGCAUGGCCCUCCAGCCUGAUGAUUCAACUAAUAGAAACAGCAAAUACAUGAAUCUUCAGCCUGAUGUCAUCAACAGUGGUAACAGAAAAACACUGUGAUAGUUGGUCAUGCUCUCAGCCUGCUAAUAGAAUGACUGAAAGGGGGGGAAUUGUUACAAUCAAGGACAGAUGGAGACCAGCCUUGAAGUUUCACUCAACAGACAGAACCGGUGUAGUCAUGCAGCAAAAGCUUAACUGAGAUUAUUUUGCAAAACUAACUUGACCUGGAUCAUUUCUUGCUUGUACAUCUGGAAAAGAUGAGUAAAACUUGAACUGUUUCCCAAGGUUGUUAUGAGGGAGCCACUCAUAACUGGCUCAAAACUGUAAUAUUGUAAUCAAUCAUUAUGAAGAAUAAACAGCCAUUGCUUUCUCACUAUUUAAGCUGUUUUAAAACAGUAUACCCCUAAGCCUCAUUCUAUGUUCUUGCUUGAGUACUCCCAGUUUGCAAACUGUCUUCUUGGUGUGUGUGCAAUACAUUUUACUAAGUACACUUUCGUGAUUCAUUGGUUAUACUUUAGUUAUUGUGAAUCUUUGACAGUGCUGUGAACACUAAGCUCAAGCUAUACAGUUGUGUGGACUCCAAGUGAUGCCUGCUCCUGACAUGGGGCUCAUAAGCUGCAGAGAGAACUCCUUGUCCAGGUUUAGAAAAUUCCAACAGUCAGAGCUCCAUUUGUAUGGAGCGAAAUAUUUCCUCCGUGUUAUUUUGACCUUUGGGUCCUAGCCCCAGGCUCUGGAAAUGCUACAACAAAUGGAAUUAUCUUUUCUAUGACAGCCCUUCCAACCUUCUCACACAGUGUCCUGGGAGAAGUGGCUGGUGCUGCAAAGGCAGCUGUGAGCUGGAAUGACUCUUGGGGUCAUUCAUCUUGGUGCACUGGGACCCAGAGGUGACAGCCUGAAGGUGCCUGGACUCUGCUAGCAACUGUCAUAUGAAGAUAUUCAACUUGACAAGGAGGAAACAGUCAUGUUUGGGGAAGGGUGGUAGAAUUGCAAAAAAAAAAAAAAUCAAGGAAUACAGUUUCUUUAUAUUUGGAAAAAUUACUUACAUGUGUAAAGUAUCUACUUUGAAAAUAUUACAAACUUAUAUUGAUAAAGUA